CAUAGGGAAUCUUCCGCAAUGGACGAAAGUCUGACGGAGCAACGCCGCGUGAGUGAUGAAGGUUUUCGGAUCGUAAAGCUCUGUUGUUAGGGAAGAACAAGUACCGUUCGAAUAGGGCGGUACCUUGACGGUACCUAACCAGAAAGCCACGGCUAACUACGUGCCAGCAGCCGCGGUAAUACGUAGGUGGCAAGCGUUGUCCGGAAUUAUUGGGCGUAAAGGGCUCGCAGGCGGUUCCUUAAGUCUGAUGUGAAAGCCCCCGGCUCAACCGGGGAGGGUCAUUGGAAACUGGGGAACUUGAGUGCAGAAGAGGAGAGUGGAAUUCCACGUGUAGCGGUGAAAUGCGUAGAGAUGUGGAGGAACACCAGUGGCGAAGGCGACUCUCUGGUCUGUAACUGACGCUGAGGAGCGAAAGCGUGGGGAGCGAACAGGAUUAGAUACCCUGGUAGUCCACGCCGUAAACGAUGAGUGCUAAGUGUUAGGGGGUUUCCGCCCCUUAGUGCUGCAGCUAACGCAUUAAGCACUCCGCCUGGGGAGUACGGUCGCAAGACUGAAACUCA
rnacentral:rRNA from 1 species